UACGGGGGGGGCAAGCGUUGUUCGGAAUUACUGGGCGUAAAGGGCGCGUAGGCGGCCUGCUAAGUCGGACGUGAAAUCCCCCGGCUCAACCGGGGAACUGCGUCCGAUACUGGUGGGCUCGAAUCCGGGAGAGGGUCGCGGAAUUCCCGGUGUAGAGGUGAAAUUCGUAGAUAUCGGGAGGAACACCAGUGGCGAAGGCGGCGACCUGGGCCAAUACUGACGCUGAGGUGCGAAAGCGUGGGGAGCAAACAGG
rnacentral:rRNA from 1 species